UUUCGUAGGGUGGACCUGGGGGGGGGUUCAUGGUGGGAAUGUGCCUUGGGUGCACCCCAGAAAAUCCUUUGUGAACUUAUACCUACUGUUGCCUCGGCGCAGGCCGGCCUCUCCUGGCAGAGGCCCCCUGGAGACAGGGAGCAGCCCGCCGGCGGCCAGCUAAACUCUUGUUUCUACAGUGAAUCUCUGAGUAAAAACAUAAAUGAAUCAAAACUUUCAACAACGGAUCUCUUGGUUCUGGCAUCGAUGAAGAACGCAGCGAAAUGCGAUAAGUAAUGUGAAUUGCAGAAUUCAGUGAAUCAUCGAAUCUUUGAACGCACAUUGCGCCCUCUGGUAUUCCGGAGGGCAUGCCUGUUCGAGCGUCAUUUCAACCCUCAAGCCUGGCUUGGUGAUGGGGCACUGCCUGUGAAAGGGCAGGCCUUGAAAUCUAGUGGCGAGCUCGCCAGGACCCCGAGCGUAGUAGUAUUAUCUCGCCCUGGAAGGCCCUGGCGGUGCCCUGCCGUUAAACCCCCCGACUCCUGAAAAUUGACCUCGGAUCAGUAGGAAUCCGGUU
rnacentral:rRNA from 1 species